rnacentral:rRNA from 1 species
UACGUAGGGUGCAAGCGUUGUCCGGAAUUAUGGGGCGUAAAGAGCUUGUAGGCGGUUUGUCGCGUCUGCUGUGAAAUUUCGGGGCUCAACCCCGAACUUGCAGUGGGUACGGGCAGACUAGAGUGUGGUAGGGGAGACUGGAAUUCCUGGUGUAGCGGUGAAAUGCGCAGAUAUCAGGAGGAACACCGAUGGCGAAGGCAGGUCUCUGGGCCAUAACUGACGCUGAGAAGCGAAAGCAUGGGGAGCGAACAGG